rnacentral:rRNA from 1 species
GUAGCAAUACAUGGGUGGCGAGUGGCGCACCGGUGCGUAACACGUAUGCAAUUUGCCCAUAACUGGGGGAUAGCCCUCCGAAAGGAGGAUUAAUACCCCAUAACCCAGCGAGGUGGCAUCACCUUUCUGGUAAAUCUCCGGAGGUUAUGGAUGAGCAUGCGUCUGAUUAGCUAGUUGGUGAGGUAACGGCUCACCAAGGCAACGAUCAGUAGGGGGUCUGACAGGAUGAUCCCCCA